rnacentral:rRNA from 1 species
UACGUAGGUGGCGAGCGUUGUCCGGAUUUACUGGGCGUAAAGGGCGUGCAGGCGGUUUUUAAGUCUAGGUGAAAGCUCCCGGCUCACUGGAGAGGUCCUGGAUACUGGAAACUUGAGGGAUGCAGAGGAAAGUGGAAUUCCGGUGUAGUGGUGAUAUGCGUAGAUAUCGGAGGAACACCAGUGGCGAAGGCGGCCUUCUGGCAUUCCUGACGCUGAGACGCGAAGCGUGGGAGCGAACCGG